rnacentral:lncRNA from 1 species
CAAAUUCUCCUCCAAUGACUUCCCUUCUUUAUAUGGAAAUGUUUUUUGUCGCCUCUUGCUUUGGGGUUGUUAGGUUCUUGGAAAGUGAAACUUAUAGAACUCAUUCCCACAUACAUAAACACAAUAAACUAGAUAGAAAGAAUAUAAUUUUGUAUUGAUCAAAGAACCAAUGUACAAGUAUAUUGUUCUACGGGAGCCUAAUCCCCCUCCUCAGGCUAAGGUCUUGACUUUACACAAAGAAUACAAGAAUACCCUGAAUAGAGUUAUACAAAAACUAUUAUCGAAAACUAUUUAUACUCACACCCCUUCCUAACUAGUAAAACAAUCAGCCUUUAACUCACUUCCCCC